UAUAACAAUGUGGGUAAGUGAAGUUGGAAAAAAAGAUUCAUAACUUUGGGAUAAGGAUUGUCUCUAAUGGCUGGGUCGGUCGGGCUGGGGUGCGAAACGGGGCUGGGCUCGAGCCGCGGCUGGGGGAGCAGUUGCUCUUUCGCCCUCAUCUCGCCACCAUUGGAAAUUUGAUGUGCGGCCCAUCUCGCGGUCUCUCGUGCGAGGUCUCGCAAGGGGCUACGUGUGAAGGUUCACCAGGGUGAUGUCCGAAGGGGAACCGGUGGGGGGUUGGUCCGGCGGUUGGCGGCGGCAACUCUGGACGCUCGCCGGGCCCUUCUCGUGGAUCUCCCCAGCUACAGCACUCACCGGACCCACACAUUGUAGGUGGAGAGGUCUCCUCUACGCUCACUAGACUUGAGGCGGAGACUAAACCCAUUGGCCCCGCAGUGAUAGGGCAUUGCAUGGAUCUGGCUCAUGCCCUACGAAGUGGGGAGAGGCAUCUCCAGCUUGUCUGGGGAGGGAGGCCUACGUCUGAUGUGGGUAGUACCAUCCACGCCCAUUGAUUUGCUGUGGAACCAUAAAACGGACAGAAGACGCUUAGGUUCCCACUGGGCACAGAUCACUGAAUGUCAACUUGAUAAAAUUCAAAGGAGCGUACCCACCUUUCGCGGUCACACUCAAACCACCCAUGGGUGAUGGUGACCCCCUCCUGUCAAAGUGAGGAAUAUCGAUGAAGUGCUGGUAAAGGUGGUUCCUAUGGCUCUGUCCCGGAGGGCUGACUGGGCAAGCAAAUGAUUGAAAGGGGAUGAUUAUUUUCUGUUGCUUCUUCCGACACCCGGUCGAUGGUGCCGCUAGAUACUGCGAUGGGUAUUUGGUUCUCAAGCCUAUAAGUUUGCGCUGGUACUUGAUGUCGAUUGGGUGUAAAAACCCAGUUGAAGUCCGCUGAAAGUUAGUAGCGGUAACUGAUGUCCAGUUUGUAAGACAGAAAAGCCUCUGAUGAUGCCACGGGUGGCUGUGACCCCCUCAUGUCAAAGUGAGGAAAUUCGAUGAAGCGGGGUAAACGGCGGGACAUAAGUAAGAGUCUCUUGAGGUAGCCAAAUGCCUCGUCAUCUAAUCAGUGAUGCGCAUGAAUGGAUGAACGAGAUUCCCACUGUCUCUGCCUACUAUCUUGCGAAACCACAGCCAAGGGAACGGGCUUGG
rnacentral:ncRNA from 1 species